GAGCCUGCAAGUGUGGAACGUGUCCUGU
rnacentral:piRNA from 1 species